rnacentral:rRNA from 1 species
GUCUAUGGCCAUGCCACCCUGAACGUGCCGGAUCUCCUCUGAUCUCAGAAGCUAAGCAGGGGCGAGCCUGUCUAGUACUUGGAUGGGAGACUACCUAGGAAGACCAGGUGCUGUAGGCG